rnacentral:rRNA from 1 species
AUGCGUGAUCAGGUCGGCAUCGACCUGGACGGCUUCCCCCUCGACCACGAGUUCCCGGACGACUACGGGCUAGAGAAAGAGGACAAGUGCGACAUCGAAGUGGAGCCUUUGUUCGAGGACGAGCUCGCCAACCAAGCCGCCGGUCCUAAGCCGAAGCGCAAGAGCAAGCGCACGAAGGCGUACUCAGCUGCCGAGGACAAGCUUCUUUGCGAGUGUUGGCGAGAGAUUGGACAAGACCCCAAGACGGGCGCCGAGCAAAAACAUUCAACCUUUUGGACUCGUGUCCACCAAGAGUUUCAUGAGCGCAAGAAGUUUCCACCUUACCAAUUUGUGAGCAUGUGCGGGUGGGUCUCCAUUUCCAAGCGGUGGAGGAUGAUCCAACAAGAGUGCAACAAGUUUUGCGCCACCCUUGAGAGCGUCAAGGCCCGCCCCAUGAGCGGCAUCGGCAUGCAAGCCAUGGUAUGA